AUUUAGUUUAAUUUUUACUUAAAGGGAGUGACCGGCUAUCCCUUCACAACCUGCCAGUCGUAAUGGUGGACAAAAUGAUGGUUGAUCAUUUUAUUUAUUUAUAUUUCUGUUAUGUUAUGUUUUAAAUUUCAUCUGUAUGUUUAAUAGUAAUACAGGGUAAUACCACAAA